rnacentral:rRNA from 1 species
UACGGAGGGUGCUAGCGUUGUUCGGAAUCACUGGGCGUAAAGGGCGCGUAGGCGGCCUGAUAAGUCGGGGGUGAAAUCCUGCGGCUUAACCGCAGGGCUGCCUUCUAAACUGUCAGGCUAGAGCACAGUAGAGGCAGGUGGAAUUCCCGGUGUAGCGGUGGAAUGCGUAGAGAUCGGGAAGAACAUCAGUGGCGAAGGCGGCCUGCUGGGCUGUUGCUGACGCUGAGGCGCGACAGCGUGGGGAGCAAACAGG